rnacentral:rRNA from 1 species
UCUGGUGACAAUGGCAAGGAGGUCACACCUGUUCCCAUGCCAAACACAGAAGUUAAGCUCCUUAGCGCCGAUGGUAGUCGGACUGACGUUCCGCUAGAGUAGGACGUUGCCAGGC